UCAUCACAACUCUCAGGCUUUUGUUCGUGGUGCACCAUCGUCAGCAUCACCACCAUCACCACGGCAUCCCUCAGCGCUGUUCGACUUUCUCUCUCUGUCGAUCCAUCGGUCUCUGUAUGUACGCUCGUACGGAUGGGGUGUCUUGUUUGUGGAGCUUCUCAGCUCCGUGAUGACAAGCUCCGACACACUAGAAGAAAGACGCAGCCCUUGACGGACUCUGGGCCCCAGCGUACGCUUCCCUAGUUGAUAGUUUGGCUUUCUCUUUUUUCCCCCUUGUCAUGCGCGCGUAUGCAGGUGUCGCGGUUGCUGCUUCUGGUGCCUUCGAUGCGCUCACCAUUGACCCGCCCAAGGCGCGCGCGUUCUCCGCUUCGCGCCUCUGCUGUUGUCUAACAUCCUUAUCGGUUUCUCAUUAUUUUUUUUUCUUUUAGGAAGGCCAUCUGUUGUCUUCUCAUCUUUCUUUCCCUCCUGAGCUUCUCCGUCGUCUCUUCCUGGCCGCGCUGUGGGGAGGCCCGGCAGCUCCUCCUUAUCCCCUGCUCAUGCCGAGCCGCCUCCUGUCGCGACACAGUCAAGCGCCUACGACAUAGCGAGGCCAGAGCGAUGUAUCGUUGCUGAUGCCGGUGGUGAGGUCCUGGAGGGCGUUGCGCCUGAGCGACCUGCGACAGCGAGCACGCUUGUGCCAUACAUGCGGUUAGGCGAAGCGUAAGCGUGACUUGAACGUAUGCCACCCCCCGGCCCUUGCUGCCGUUGCUGGUGUGGUGGCGAGCCUGAGCGCCACCGCGAGGGGGAUGUGCGAGGUGGCGACCUGCAUGAUGGCAGUUGCUGCGAAGCGAUCUGCGAGGCGGGUGGGCAAAGCUGGAGGUUGGGGCCGUGCUCGGAUGGCCGAGUCGGCGCAUCGCUGUAACGCACGCGCGUGUCUAGCGCUGCUUCGCACACACACGAUGUUGAGCCUUCGGCCGGCUGGAGUGCAGUCCAGUUUAGCUCGUGUUGUAUGGACGACAGUGGACUCAAAUCGACAAAAAAGGCUUCUUGGGUGUCGUGCAAGUGCAGUAGCAUUAUUGCUGUGCACACUCCUCCUUCCACGCCUCCCUCCCUCUCUCUCCCUCUUUCCUUUCUGCUCGCUUCUGGGCUACCUCAG
rnacentral:misc_RNA from 1 species